UUCAGCGGCUCUGGCUACCGGGUUCGGUGGCCUGGGCCACUGAGGUCGGCGGCCUGGGCCUCCGGGUCCGGCAGCCCGAGCCACCUAG
rnacentral:pre_miRNA from 1 species